GGAGGCGCACAACCAGUGGAGCAUGUGGUUCAAUUCGAUACAAAGCGAUGAACCUUACCUGGGCUUGAAAUGUACCUGCAAAUCCCGAGAAACCGGGAAAUCUUUCGAAGGUGGUACACAGCUGUUGCAUGGCUGUCGUCAGCUCGUGACGUGAGUUGUUCUCUUAAGUGAGGUAACGAGCGCAACCCCCGUUCUGUGUUAUUGUGUCACAGAAGACUGCCUAGCAUUAUUUUGUUAGGAGGAAGGAGGGGACGACGUCAAGUCAUCACGAUGCUUAUGUCCAGGGCUACACACAUCCUACAAUGGGCUAUAACAGAGGGUUGCAAGACCGCAAGGUGGAGCUAAUCCCUAAACUAGCCCUCAGUUGGGAUUGCAGGCUGAAACUCGCCUGCAUGAACCCGGAAUUGGUAGUAAUCGCACAUCAGCAGCGUGCGGUGAAUACGUUCUCGCCUCUU
rnacentral:rRNA from 1 species